rnacentral:rRNA from 1 species
AAAUUUCCAUGGCAAACUGCUCAGUAACACAUGAUCAACUUACCCUAUAGAGAAAAAUAACCUCGGGAAACUGAGGAUAAUGUUUCAUAAUUGAAAAGGCUUGGAAAAGUUUCCAAUUAAAGGAGUAAAGAAAAUGGUAUUUACUUGCUAUAGGAUAGGAUCGUGGUCGAUUAUGGUAGUUGGUGAGGUAACGGCUCACCAAGCCGAUAAUCGAUAGGGGCCGUGAGAGCGGGAGCCCCGAGAUGGGUACUGAGACAACGACCCAGGCCUUACAAGGCGCAACAGGUACGAAACCUCCGCAAUACACGAAAGUGUGACGGGGUUACCCAAAGUGUCCUUAUUGGACUGUGGUAGGUGAGUAAUGUCCCCUACUAGAAAGGAGAGGGCAAGGCUGGUGCCAGCCGCCGCGGUAAAACCAGCUCUUCAAGUGGUCGGGAUAAUUAUUGGGCUUAAAGUGUCCGUAGCCGGUUUAGUAAGUUCCUGGUAAAAUCGGGUAGCUUAACUAUCUGUAUGCUAGGAAUACUGCUAAUACUAGAGGGCGGGAGAGGUCUGAGGUACUACAGGGUAGGGGUGAAAUCUUAUAAUCCUUGUAGGACCACCAGUGGCGAAGGCGUCAGACUGGAACGCGCCUGACGGUGAGGGACGAAAGCCAGGGGAGCGAACCGGAUUAGAUACCCGGGUAGUCCUGGCCGUAAACGAUGCAUACUAGGUGAUGGCACGGCCAUGAGCCGUGUCAGUGCCGUAGGGAAACCGUUAAGUGUGCCGCCUGGGAAGUACGGUCGCAAGGCUAAAACUUAAAGGAAUUGGCGGGGGAGCACCACAAGGGGUGAAGCCUGCGGUUUAAUUGGACUCAACGCCGGGAAACUUACCAGGGGAGACAGCAGUAUGACGGUCAGGUUGACGACCUUACCCGACGAGCUGAGAGGAGGUGCAUGGCCGUCGCCAGUUCGUGCUGUGAGGUAUCCUGUUAAGUCAGGCAACGAACGAGAUCCGCGCCUUUAUUUGCCAUCAAGAAGUUACGACUUCGUUGGGAACUCUAAAGGGACCGCUGUCGCUAAGACGGAGGAAGGAGCGGGCAAAGGCAGGUCAGUAUGCCCCGAAACCCCUGGGCUACACGCGGGCUGCAAUGGUAUGAACAAUGGGCUGUAACUCCGAAAGGAGAAACCAAUCCCGAAAUCAUAUCUCAGUUGGAUUGUCGGCUGAACCCGCUGACAUGA